GUGUCAGCCGCCGCGGUAAUACGAAGGGGGCUAGCGUUGCUCGGAAUCACUGGGCGUAAAGCGCACGUAGGCGGCUUUCUAAGUCAGGGGUGAAAUCCCGGAGCUCAACUCCGGAACUGCCUUUGAUACUGGAGAGCUUGAGUUCGGGAGAGGUGAGUGGAACUGCGAGUGUAGAGGUGAAAUUCGUAGAUAUUCGCAAGAACACCAGUGGCGAAGGCGGCUCACUGGCCCGAUACUGACGCUGAGGGGCGAAAGCGUGGGGAGCAAACAGGAUUAGAUACCCUGGUAGUCCACGCCGUAAACGAUGGAUGCUAGCCGUUGGACAGCUUGCUGUUCAGUGGCGCAGCUAACGCAUUAAGCAUUCCGCCUGGGGAGUACGGCCGCAAGGUUAAAACUUAAAGGAAUUGACGGGG
rnacentral:rRNA from 1 species